rnacentral:rRNA from 1 species
GACGAACGCUGGCGGCGCGCCUAACACAUGCAAGUCGAACGGAGUUAGUGGCGGACGGGUGAGUAACACGUGAGCAACCUGCCUUUCAGAGUGGAAUAACGUUUGGGAAACGAACGCUAAUACCGCAUAACGUCAGAGGAUGGCAUCGUCUUUUGACCAAAGAUUUAUCGCUGAAAGAUGGGCUCGCGGCCGAUUAGGUAGUUGGUGAGAUAAUAGCCCACCAAGCCGACGAUCGGUAGCCGGACUGAGAGGUUGAACGGCCACAUUGGGACUGAGACACGGCCCAGACUCCUACGGGAGGCAGCAGUGGGGGAUAUUGCACAAUGGGGGAAACCCUGAUGCAGCGACGCCGCGUGAGGGAAGACGGCCUUCGGGUUGUAAACCUCUGUCUUCGGGGACGAAUAAAUGACGGUACCCGAGGAGGAAGCCACGGCUAACUACGUGCCAGCAGCCGCGGUAAUACGUAGGUGGCAAGCGUUGUCCGGAAUUACUGGGUGUAAAGGGAGCGUAGGCGGGGAGGCAAGUUGAAUGUCUAAACUAUCGGCUCAACUGAUAGUCGCGUUCAAAACUGCCACUCUUGAGUGCAGUAGAGGUAGGCGGAAUUCCUAGUGUAGCGGUGAAAUGCGUAGAUAUUAGGAGGAACACCAGUGGCGAAGGCGGCCUACUGGGCUGUAACUGACGCUGAGGCUCGAAAGCGUGGGUAGCAAACAGGAUUAGAUACCCUGGUAGUCCACGCCGUAAACGAUGAUUACUAGGUGUGGGGGGGACUGACCCCUUCCGUGCCGGAGUUAACACAAUAAGUAAUCCACCUGGGGAGUACGGCCGCAAGGCUGAAACUCAAAGGAAUUGACGGGGGCCCGCACAAGCAGUGGAGUAUGUGGUUUAAUUCGAAGCAACGCGAAGAACCUUACCAGGUCUUGACAUCGAGUGACGAACUUAGAGAUAAGUUCUUCCUUCGGGACACGAAGACAGGUGGUGCAUGGUUGUCGUCAGCUCGUGUCGUGAGAUGUUGGGUUAAGUCCCGCAACGAGCGCAACCCUUAUCAUUAGUUGCUACGCAAGAGCACUCUAAUGAGACUGCCGUUGAUAAAACGGAGGAAGGUGGGGAUGACGUCAAAUCAUCAUGCCCCUUAUGACCUGGGCUACACACGUACUACAAUGGUGAUCAAACAGAGGGAAGCAACACAGCGAUGUGAAGCAGAACCCGAAAAAUCAUCUCAGUUCAGAUUGCAGGCUGCAACUCGCCUGCAUGAAGUCGGAAUUGCUAGUAAUCGCGGAUCAGCAUGCCGCGGUGAAUACGUUCCCGGGCCU